AACGUACGCUGGCGGCACGCCUAACACAUGCAAGUCGAACGCAGUAGCAAUACUGAGUGGCAGACGGGUGAGUAACAUGUGGGAAUCUGCCUUGUGGUUCAGGACAACAUUGGGAAACCGAUGCUAAUACUGGAUAAGCCCUUACGGGGAAAGUUUUAAUGCCAUAAGAUGAGCCCGCAUUUGAUUAGUUAGUUGGUGAGGUAAUGGCUCACCAAGACAAUGAUCAAUAGCUGAUCUGAGAGGAUGAUCAGCCACACUGGGACUGAGACACGGCCCAGACUCCUACGGGAGGCAGCAGUGGGGAAUCUUGCACAAUGGAGGAAACUCUGAUGCAGCGAUGCCGCGUGAGUGAAGAAGGCCUUUGGGUUGUAAGGCUCUUUUGUAGGGGAAGAUAAUGACUGUACCCUGAGAAUAAGGUCCGGCUAACUUCGUGCCAGCCGCCGCGGUAA
rnacentral:rRNA from 1 species